GUUGGAAAGUAGGAAAGCACGCGGUAAAGUUUACUCGCGACGACGGGUACGAUCUCGCGGAGGUUUGGAGCGAAGCCAAAACACCACCGUGUGUUCCUCUCUACGUCCGCUGGACCAGUUUUCUUUAUCCGGCUUUUGCACCGCGAACAGAUUUCGAAACGACCGGUUCUCCUUCCACGAAAACGAAACGCCCGUUUUCGGCGGCGGCGGCGGCAGCGGCGACGACGAAAAUAAAGCGGCACCCGCGAUAUCCUUGCAAACUUUACGAUCCUGUAACGGACGCACGCACACGCGCACGCGCACAUACUGUCCGCCAUUUUCGAUGAAGGUACAUAACAUGGAUUGGGCAGAGGGCCUCGAAGCGAAGCGUCUUCCUCGCGUUCUCGUCACACGUGGCGAAUUAGGAGGAAAGAAAGAGAAGUAAUUUUUACAUCAGCUUGCGAAACUCGUCGCGAAUUAUCGUUUCGCAACGAUAAUCAACGAUCAGGUGGAAAAUAAAGGAUCGUUUACAACGGAAGGAAAAAAAAAA